UACGUAGGGUGCGAGCGUUAAUCGGAAUUACUGGGCGUAAAGCGUGCGCAGGCGGCUAUUUAAGCUUGCUGUGAAAGCCCCGGGCUUAACCUGGGAACUGCAGUGAGGACUGGAUGGCUGGAGUGUGGCAGAGGGGGGUGGAAUUUCACGUGUAGCAGUGAAAUGCGUAGAGAUGUGGAGGAACACCGAUGGCGAAGGCAGCCCCCUGGGCUAACACUGACGCUCAGGCACGAAAGCGUGGGGAGCAAACAGG
rnacentral:rRNA from 1 species